CAGGCUUAACACAUGCAAGUCGAGGGGCAGCAUGGUCUUAGCUUGCUAAGGCCGAUGGCGACCGGCGCACGGGUGAGUAACACGUAUCCAACCUGCCGUCUACUCUUGGACAGCCUUCUGAAAGGAAGUUUAAUACAAGAUGGCAUCAUGAGUCCGCAUGUUCACAUGAUUAAAGGUAUUCCGGUAGACGAUGGGGAUGCGUUCCAUUAGAUAGUAGGCGGGGUAACGGCCCACCUAGUCUUCGAUGGAUAGGGGUUCUGAGAGGAAGGUCCCCCACAUUGGAACUGAGACACGGUCCAAACUCCUACGGGAGGCAGCAGUGAGGAAUAUUGGUCAAUGGGCGAGAGCCUGAACCAGCCAAGUAGCGUGAAGGAUGACUGCCCUAUGGGUUGUAAACUUCUUUUAUAAAGGAAUAAAGUCGGGUAUGGAUACCCGUUUGCAUGUACUUUAUGAAUAAGGAUCGGCUAACUCCGUGCCAGCAGCCGCGGUAAUACAGAGGAUCCGAGCGUUAUCCGGAUUUAUUGGGUUUAAAGGGAGCGUAGAUGGAUGUUUAAGUCAGUUGUGAAAGUUUGCGGCUCAACCGUAAAAUUGCAGUUGAUACUGGAUAUCUUGAGUGCAGUUGAGGCAGGCGGAAUUCGUGGUGUAGCGGUGAAAUGCUUAGAUAUCACGAAGAACUCCGAUUGCGAAGGCAGCCUGCUAAGCUGCAACUGACAUUGAGGCUCGAAAGUGUGGGUAUCAAACAGGAUUAGAUACCCUGGUAGUCCACACGGUAAACGAUGAAUACUCGCUGUUUGCGAUAUACGGCAAGCGGCCAAGCGAAAGCGUUAAGUAUUCCACCUGGGGAGUACGCCGGCAACGGUGAAACUCAAAGGAAUUGACGGGGGCCCGCACAAGCGGAGGAACAUGUGGUUUAAUUCGAUGAUAUGCGAGGAACCUUACCCGGGCUUAAAUUGCAGAUGAAUUACGGUGAAAGCCGUAAGCCGCAAGGCAUCUGUGAAGGUGCUGCAUGGUUGUCGUCAGCUCGUGCCGUGAGGUGUCGGCUUAAGUGCCAUAACGAGCGCAACCCUUGUUGUCAGUUACUAACAGGUUCCGCUGAGGACUCUGACAAGACUGCCAUCGUAAGAUGUGAGGAAGGUGGGGAUGACGUCAAAUCAGCACGGCCCUUACGUCCGGGGCUACACACGUGUUACAAUGGGGGGUACAGAGGGCCGCUACCACGCGAGUGGAUGCCAAUCCCCAAAACCUCUCUCAGUUCGGACUGGAGUCUGCAACCCGACUCCACGAAGCUGGAUUCGCUAGUAAUCGCGCAUCAGCCACGGCGCGGUGAAUACGUUCCCGGGCCUUGUACACACCGCCCGUCAAGCCAUGGGAGCCGGGGGUACCUGAAGUGCGUAACCGCGAGGAGCGCCCUAGGGUAAAACUGGUGACUGGGGCUAAGU
rnacentral:rRNA from 1 species